UGGCAUAUUGAGUUCUUCACACAUUUUGUCUGUAAUGUUCAGCAGUUAAUAAUUUUGGUCUGAGAAUCGUCUUUACUCGUGGAAUGCCAUGUCAAACUGUUGCUUAUAUGUUGGAUCACGAAAAGAAACACUUGGAUUUGGGGUCUCAUGUUACCUGCUUCUUUCAUGCCCCACAAUCUUUGUUGGCAGGUUGAGGCUUUCUGUUGAGCAUUAUCAACAUCAUAAGUGCUGCUAGAUGGAUUCUUGUUGCAACACUUUGGAAGAAAAGCUGUAUAGAUUUCAUUGGAAAGCAACUGGUUUCGGAAUGUUUUAAGAUGCGACCUGCAAGGUCAGGCUUUUGAAAAGUCAACAAAGUUGUGCUGAUUGCCAAUGAUGCAAAAGAAUCUUUAUGGAGAGAUUCGUCGUUCGUUGUUCAACACCUCAAAGUCGUCGUCUUUUCCAUUUCACUUCCAAUAGGGAUACUUUCCAGACAGCUGCAUCAUCGGCAUCCUUUUAUGGCGUUUCCUUCUUCUUCCUCGUCGUCGUAUCCCUCCAAGCGCCAGUUCGACGUGUUUGUGAGUUUCAGGGGCGCAGACACUCGUAAUACCUUCACCUCUUACCUCCUUGAGUCCCUACACCGAAAAGGUAUUGAUGCUUUCUUUGACGGGAAACUACUGCGAGGAAAGGACAUCUCAGUUCUCUUUGACAGGAUCCAGCAAUCUAAGAUGUCAAUCGUUGUCUUCUCGGAGAACUAUGCCAACUCCACCUGGUGCUUGGAGGAACUCUGGAAGAUAAUGCAGUGCAGGGAUAAAUUUGGUCAUGGGGUUAUACCAAUCUUCUACAAAGUCAAGAAAUCUGAUGUGGAGAAUCAGAAGGGGAGUUUUGAAGCUCCCUUCCUGAGCCCUAAGGAGUUUUUUAAGGGAGAUGGGCUCAAACUUGGGGCAUGGAAGGAAGCUCUGAGGACUGCUUCCAAUAUCCUCGGCUUUGUGCUUCC